rnacentral:tRNA from 1 species
GGGCGGGUGGCGAAAUGGCAGACGCACUGCGCUUAGGACGCAACGGGGUAACCCAUGGAGGUUCGAGUCCUCUCCCGCCCA